AUAUUGGACAAUGGGGGCAACCCUGAUCCUGCUAUGCCGCGUGUGUGAAAAAGGUCUCCGGAUUGUAAAGCACUUUAAGUUGGGAGGAAGGGCUUUAGGUUAAUACCCUGAAGUUUUGACGUUACCAACAGAAUUAGCACCGUCUAACUCUGUGCCAGCAGCCGCGGUAAUACAGAGGGUGCAAGCGUUAAUCGGAAUUACUGGGCGUAAAGCGCGCGUAGGUGGUUCAGUAAGAUGGGUGUGAAAGCCCCGGGCUUAACCUGGGAACUGCUUUCAUAACUGCUGAGCUAGAGUACGGUAGAGGGUAGUGGAAUUUCCUGUGUAGCGGUAAAAUGCGUAGAUAUAGGAAGGAGCACCAGUGGCGAAGGCGACUACCUGGACUGAUACUGACACUGAGGUGCGAAAGCGUGGGGAGCAAACA
rnacentral:rRNA from 1 species